UCGGGAAUUUUGGGCAAUGGGCGAAAGCCUGACCCAGCAACGCCGCGUGAAGGAUGAAGUAUUUCGGUAUGUAAACUUCGAAAGAAUAGGAAGAAUAAAUGACGGUACUAUUUAUAAGGUCCGGCUAACUACGUGCCAGCAGCCGCGGUAAUACGUAGGGACCAAGCGUUGUUCGGAUUUACUGGGCGUAAAGGGCGCGUAGGCGGCUUGACAAGUCACUUGUGAAAUCUCUGGGCUUAACCCAGAACGGCCAAGUGAUACUGUCGCGCUAGAGUGCAGAAGGGGCAAUCGGAAUUCUUGGUGUAGCGGUGAAAUGCGUAGAUAUCAAGAGGAACACCUGAGGUGAAGACGGGUUGCUGGGCUGACACUGACGCUGAGGCGCGAAAGCCAGGGGAGCAAACGGGAUUAGAUACCCAUGUAGUCCCUGAGCGGGCUGGCAAGGCGCAU
rnacentral:rRNA from 1 species